rnacentral:rRNA from 1 species
CCUACGAAGGUAGGGAUAACCGUAACGGAGUCACUCAAAGGUAAACCGGUAACUGGGGCU